rnacentral:rRNA from 1 species
CACAUGCAAGUCGAGCGAUAAGGGAGAUUCGGCUCCUGGGAAAGCGGCGAACGGGGUGAGUAACACGUGGGGCAACCUGCCUCAAGGAUUGGGAUAACGUCGGGAAACCGACGCUAAUACCGAACGAUGUCGUCCGGCGCAAGCCGGCCGACCAAAGGGUAGCUUCGGCCUCCGCCUUGAGAUGGGCCCGCGUCCUAUCAGCUUGUUGGUGAGGUAAUGGCUCACCAAGGCUACGACGGGUAGCUGGUCUGAGAGGAUGAUCAGCCACACUGGGACUGAGAUACGGCCCAGACUCCUACGGGAGGCAGCAGUGGGGAAUUUUGCGCAAUGGGCGAAAGCCUGACGCAGCAACGCCGCGUGAGCGAAGAAGGCCUUCGGGUUGUAAAGCUCUGUCAGGGGGAAAGAAGGCACCUGGGUUAAUAGCCCAAGGGCUGACGGUACCUCCAAAGGAAGCCACGGCUAACUACGUGCCAGCAGCCGCGGUAAUACGUAGGUGGCGAGCGUUGUCCGGAAUCAUUGGGCGUAAAGAGCGCGUAGGUGGCUUGUUAGGUCUGGUGUGAAAUCUUGGGGCUCAACCCCAAACGUGCACUGGAAACCGGCUUGCUAGAGUCUGGGAGAGGAGAGUGGAAUUCCUGGUGUAGCGGUGAAAUGCGUAGAUAUCAGGAGGAACACCGGUAGCGAAGGCGGCUCUCUGGAACAGUACUGACGCUGAGGCGCGAAAGCUAGGGGAGCGAACAGGAUUAGAUACCCUGGUAGUCCUAGCCGUAAACGAUGGACACUAGGUGUCGGGGGUGUCGACUCCCCCGGUGCCGAAGCUAACGCAUUAAGUGUCCCGCCUGGGGAGUACGGCCGCAAGGCUAAAACUUAAAUGAAUUGACGG